GGAGUGGUAGUUCAGUUGGUUAGAACGCCGGCCUGUCACGCCGGAGGUCGCGGGUUCGAGCCCCGUCCGCUCCGCCA
rnacentral:tRNA from 1 species